AUCCAGCUGACGAGUCCAAAACAGGACAAAACGAGCGUCCUUCCAU
rfam:Schistosoma haematobium scaffold284_12, whole genome shotgun sequence.